rnacentral:rRNA from 1 species
AUGGAAAUCAAGGACAAGAAAGGAGCUGAAAAUGUUGUGGCAGAUCACUUCUCGAGAUUGCAAAACAAUGCAGUAGACUCCUUACCAAUCAAUGAUGUUUCACCUGGGAUCAAUCUUAUGCAAGUGACUAGUAUACAAAACUAUACACCAUGGUACGUAGAUAUAGUUAAUUAUCUGGUCUGUAACAAAGUUCCUACAGAUUUUGGGUAUCAAAAGAAGAAGAAAUUCCUAUCAGAUAUGAAGUACUUCUUUUGGAAUGAACCUUACUUAUUCAAGCAUUGUGCUGAUGGUAUUGUUCGAAGAUGCUUGCCGGAAAGUGAAGCUAAAAGUGUGAUCUAUCAUUGUCAUUCAUCCCCUUAUGGAGGUCAUGCAAGUACUCGAAAGACUCAAGCAAAAAUUUUGCAAGCAGGAUUUUAUUGCCAACUUUAUUCAAGGAUGUACAUUCCUAUAUUGAAGCUUGUGAUCCUUGUCAGAGAACUGGAAAGAUUUCAAAAAGGCAAGAGAUGCCUCAAAAAGGAAUUCUUGAAGUAG